rnacentral:misc_RNA from 1 species
AAACGCGAUAGUUAAUGUGAAUUGCAGAAUUCAGUGAAUCAUCGAGUCUUUGAACGCACCUUGCGCUCCUUGGUAUUCCUUGGAGCAUGCCUGUUUGAGUAUCAUGAAAUCUUCAAAGUAAAUCUUUUGUUAACUCAAUUGGUUUCUACUUUGGUAUUGGAGGUCUUUGCAGCUUCACACCUGCUCCUCUUUGUUCAUUAGCUGGAUCUCAGUGUUAUGCUUGGUUCCACUCGGCGUGAUAAGUUAUCUAUCGCUGAGGACACUGUAAAAGGUGGCCAAGGUAAAUGCAGAUGAACCGCUUCUAAUAGUCCAUUGACUUGGACAAUACUUUUAUGAUCUGAUCUCAAAUCAGGUAGGACUACCCGCUGAACUUAAGC